rnacentral:lncRNA from 10 species
AACAGAAACCCAGCCCUGCCCACUGGGUGAAACUGCAAGUCGAGAGCGUGGGAAACCAGCAAGUUGAGAGAGGAUCCAGAAGUAACCCCUUCUAAAACGGGAAAGAUGCCUUCCGAAAGCACUUGGCCCUAAAGAGAAAACACUAGGAGGAUGGGAACCAGGGACAGAGAAGCUACUUGCUCUGCAGCUGUUUGGGCCAGUAUGUUCCCUAAUCUUGAUGGCCAUCCUGGGCUUAUUUUCCUGAGAGUCUCUAAGUGACUCACUGCAUCACGUAAAACUAAGAAAAAGGAUGUCCUGAAUUUUCCUGCUUAGAGAGCUUGUUUUUCUUUCCUGUUGCAUCAAAGGGGUCUGUUAAACUUUCUAAAAGUACUAAUCUGACCUGAUAUCUGAAGUAACAGAUAGGAAUUUGGGCUCUUUAAAUGGAGCCCUUCCCCCAUACCUGCAUCUCAUUGAAGAGGCUGAACUUCAAAACAAAAUCAUGUUGGAGAAUUAAGUCUCGUUCCCAGAUUUAAUUUCUUAUUUUUAUAUUGUUGCAUAAGAAAUCUACUCUAUAAGGCAUCUAUUUUCAACUCCAUUUCUCCCUGGAGUAGUGAUUGUGGGGCCACUGCAUGAAUUUUACUCUAUUAUUUAUCUAAUGAGCAAAGCCAAGGCUGGCAAUGCUGAGAAUGCAUGAGGGAAAAAAAGAUAUCACAAUGACAGCACACUCUGCAGCGUUCCAUCCAAAAGCAAAUGAUCCAAUGGCCCCAUCUAGACUGGAGACACCAACUCAUGACUCAGCUGGCCUUGUGGCCCACACCCAGAAGUGGACUCAGUGCAUGAGGACUAUUUUCCACACUCCUAUGAUAGCAUCCCCAACCAAUCAGCAGGACCAUUUCCUAGCCCCUUGCCCACCAAACUAUCUUUUAAAAAACCUGGCUGGGCGCAGUGGCUCACACCUGCAAUCCCAGCACUUUGGGAGUCUGAGGUGGGUGGAUCACGAGGUCAGGAGUUCAAGACCAGCCUGGCUAAGAUGGUGAAACCCUGUCUCUACUAAAAAUACAAAAAAAAUUAGCCGGGCAUGGUGGCAGGCACCUGUAAUCCCAGCUACUUGGGAGGUUGAGGCAGAGAAUUGCUUGAACCCAGAGGCGGAGGUUACAGUGAGCCGAGAUCACUCCACUGCACUCCAGCCUGGAUAACAGAGCAAGACUCUGUCUCAAGGAAAAAAAAAAACAACCUGGAGAAGACCACAGAAGCUCUGCAUUUGGAACUUUUCCUGGAUUCUGUCCCAUUUGCUUCUUCCCAUGACCGAUUUUGAUCUGUAUCCUUUCCCCUGUAAUAAACAGUA